GUCAUUUGCAACUCCCUUUUUACAACUCACACAUUGUGUGAAUGCUACGAGAAGUCAUCGGUCAACGCGGGUCAAGAAUUUAAUGACUUAAUUGCACCGAUUUUGGGCCCUGAACGCUGCAAUUUUUGGGGAAAAAAAUUAAAAAACCUACUCGCAGCGAACCAUGGGAGUGCACGCUAAGAAAAGGUUGCUUAAUUGCAGCUUCCUACGGAUCUCCGCGCUGCGUGAACCUUUUUCCAGAUCUAAAAACAUUGUGAAGUCUCCUCUCUCCCUAGAACUCUCCGUCCAUUUCAAACCCUAGAAUUAAUUAUCUCUCUGUUUCAUCCAAUUCGUUCAAUGGCCAAUUCGUUCAAUGGGUUUAUGAAAGAGCUUCGAUAUGGUUCCUUCCAGCUCUCAUUACAAUCUAGACGAGUGGAUCGACUGCUGAUGUAGCGCAAGCCUCUCCGGCCCUCCUGCAAUAGAGAGAUAAAGAGAUGGCGGAUGAGAGAGAGGACGUCGACCUUGUACUGCGCUGUUCUACCUUCACUUCGUCAAUUGUGCUUUUAGUGGGGUGCACGAGAAGGUCCCCUCUGUGAUGAACCAAUCAGAAAUGUGAAAUUCAAGAUAGUUGAUGCUAGGAUUUCUCCUGAGCCACUACACCGGGGUACUGGACAAAUAAUCCCGACAGUCCGUCGUGUGGCUUAUUGAGCUUUCCUUAUGGAAACCCCUCGUCUUAUGGAGCCAGUUUAUUAUGUGGAGAUACAAACACCUAUAGAUUGUGUUUCUGCGAUGUACACAGUUCUAUCUCGUAGGCGUGGCCAUGUGACUGAUGAUGUUCCACAACUAGGGACCCCAGCGUAUCUUGUGAAGUUUCAGGUCAUUGUAAUGAAUGCAAACAUGGGAUGCAGCUCCUGCCGUGACAAAGUCUUCAGAGUUUUGUCAAAAAUUACUGUAUGUUGCAGCUGAUGACGCUGGACCUCUGAUGUGAACAAUGCAGGUUGUAUUGCUUCUUGUGUUAUCUGGUGCGUUUCUUAGAGCCAAUCAAAUUUGUUUCUCCUGCGAUGCCACCCGAAGAAGCCCUGGAACUGUGGCUGUUCUGUGUGGACAUGCAAUUGCUCAGAGUUCUUCAGCAAUCCUCGGGCAUAGUUAUUUGAGUGGGCUCGGUACGAGGAGGAUGACACUCAUUCAAAGAGAGGUGUUCUCCUGCUAUAUAGAGCAAGGUGGGCAACGGAUAGGAGAAUGAGUUUGUUGUCUAGUAAUGUUAUGUUUUAUGUUUUUGUUAUGUGUUGGAUAUGAAGGAAAUAAUGUCCUUGGUCCAAGUAUGCAUUCUAUGUUAAGUCUAAUAAAUGCGGUUCAGUAUUAAUUAACAAGUUAAUAAUUCAGUGAGAUCAAGUGAGCUGAAUGCCUAGCUAGAGGCCGCUUCAGUUCAAGUGG